UCCGGCUUAUCACCGGCAGUCCCUCUAGAGUGCCCAACUAAAUGAUGGCAACUAAAGGCGAGGGUUGCGCUCGUUGCGGGACUUAACCCAACAUCUCACGACACGAGCUGACGACAGCCAUGCAGCACCUGUGUUCUAGCCAGCCGAACUGAAGGAUCUCAUCUCUGAAACCCAUACUAGACAUGUCAAGCCUUGGUAAGGUUCUUCGCGUUGCGUCGAAUUAAACCACAUGCUCCACCGCUUGUGCGGGCCCCCGUCAAUUCCUUUGAGUUUCGGUCUUGCGACCGUACUCCCCAGGCGGAAUACUUAACGCGUUAGCUUCGGCACCUCGGGGGUCAAUACCCAAAGCACCUAGCGCUCAUCGUUUACGGCGUGGACUAC
rnacentral:misc_RNA from 1 species